rnacentral:rRNA from 1 species
UACGUAGGGCGCAAGCGUAUCCGGAAUUAUUGGGCGUAAAGAGCUCGUAGGCGGUUUGUCGCGUCUGCUGUGAAAAUCCGGGCUCAACCCCGGACUUGCAGUGGGUACGGGCAGACUAGAGUGUGGUAGGGGAGACUGGAAGUCCUGGUGUAGCGGUGAAAUGCGCAGAUAUCAGGAGGAACACCGAUGGCGAAGGCGGCGACCUGGUCCGAUACUGACGCUGAGGCGCGAAAGCGUGGGAGCAACAGG